AAAAAGGCCAUUGAGGGGCCGGGCGGUGGCGCUGGAGAUAAGGUGCCUGCCUUGCCUGCGCUAGCCUCGGACGGACCGCGGUUCGAUUCCCCCGGCGUCCCAUAUGGUCCCCCAAGCCAGGAGCGACUUCUGAGCGCAUAGCCAGGAGUAACCCCUGAGCAUUACCGGGUGUGGCCCAAAAACCAAAAAAAAAAAAAAAAAAAAAAAAACAAA